rnacentral:rRNA from 1 species
UACGAAGGGGGCUAGCGUUGUUCGGAAUUACUGGGCGUAAAGCGUAUGCAGGCGGACUUUUAAGUCGGGGGUGAAAUCCCGAGGCUCAACCUCGGAACUGCCUUCGAUACUGGAAGUCUUGAGUCCGGGAGAGGUGAGUGGAACUCCGAGUGUAGAGGUGAAAUUCGUAGAUAUUCGCAAGAACACCAGUGGCGAAGGCGGCUCACUGGCCCGAUACUGACGCUGAGGUGCGAAAGCGUGGUGAGCAAACAGG